UGCGCAGGCGGGAAGACAAGUUGGAAGUGAAAACCAUGGGCUCAACCCAUGAAUUGCUUUCAAAACUGUUUUUCUUGAGUAGUGCAGAGGUAGAUGGAAUUCCCGGUGUAGCGGUGGAAUGCGUAGAUAUCGGGAGGAACACCAGUGGCGAAGGCGGUCUACUGGGCACCAACUGACGCUGAGGCUCGAAAGCAUGGGUAGCAAACA
rnacentral:rRNA from 1 species